GAUGAAGAACGUAGCGAAAUGCGAUAAGUAAUGUGAAUUGCAGAAUUCAGUGAAUCAUCGAAUCUUUGAACGCACCUUGCGCCCUUUGGCUAUUCCGAAGGGCAUGCCUGUUUGAGUAUCGUGAACACCUCAACUCUCAUGGUUUGCCAUGAUGAGCUUGGACUUUGGGGGUUUUGCUGGCCUUUGGUCGGCUCCUCUCAAACGGAUCAGCUUUCCAGUGUUUGGUGGCGUCACGGGUGUGAUAACUAUCUACGCCUGUGGUUUUCUGCCAGAUAACCUUCAGCGAUGGAGGUUCGCUGGGGCUCAUAAAUGUCUCUCUUUAGUGGAGACAGCUUUUUGGACGUUUGAUCUCAAAUCAGGUAGGACUACCCGCUGAACUUAAGCAUAUCAAUAAGCGGAA
rnacentral:misc_RNA from 1 species